UACGGGGGGAGCAAGCGUUGUUCGGAUUUACUGGGCGUAAAGCGUGCGCAGGCGGUUCUGUAAGUCUGUCGUGAAAUCCCCGGGCUUAACCUGGGAAUUGCGAUGGAGACUGCAAGGCUAGAAUCUGGCAGAGGGGGGUAGAAUUCCACGUGUAGCAGUGAAAUGCGUAGAGAUGUGGAGGAACACCGAUGGCGAAGGCAGCCAUCUGGACCGACACUGACGCUGAGGCGCGAAAGCGUGGGGAGCAAACAGG
rnacentral:rRNA from 1 species